GUGCCAGCAGCCGCGGUAAUACGGAGGGGGCAAGCGUUGUUCGGAAUUACUGGGCGUAAAGGGCGCGUAGGCGGAUCGUCAAGUCAGAGGUGAAAGCCCUGGGCUCAACCCGGGAGGUGCCUUUGAAACUGGCGGUCUUGAGUGCGGGAGAGGAUGGCGGAAUUCCCAGUGUAGAGGUGAAAUUCGUAGAUAUUGGGAAGAACACCGGUGGCGAAGGCGGCCAUCUGGCCCGCAACUGACGCUGAGGCGCGAAAGCGUGGGGAGCAAACAGGAUUAGAUACCCUGGUAGUCCACGCCGUAAACGAUGUGUGCUAGCCGUUGGGGCGCGUAGCGUCUCGGUGGCGCAGCUAACGCGUUAAGCACACCGCCUGGGGAGUACGGCCGCAAGUUUAAAACUUAAAUGAAUUGACGGGG
rnacentral:rRNA from 1 species